AGCGAACGCUGGCGGCGUGCCUAACACAUGCAAGUCGAACGUGAACGGAGCAAUCCUAGUAAAGUGGCGUACGGGUGAGUAACACGCAGGUAAUCUACCUUACAGUCUGGAAUAACCUGACGAAAGUCGGGCUAAUACUGGAUAGAGCGACGGAAGCCGUAACGGUUUUUUCGGGAAAGGGAGCUCGAUAAGAGCCUUCGCUGUAAGAUGAGCCUGCGUCUGAUUAGUUAGUUGGUGGGGUAAUGGCCUACCAAGACGAUGAUCAGUAGCUGGUCUGGGAGGAUGAUCAGCCACACUGGAACUGAAACACGGUCCAGACUCCUACGGGAGGCAGCAGUGGGGAAUCUUGCGCAAUGGACGAAAGUCUGACGCAGCCACGCCGCGUGAGUGAAGAAGGCCUUCGGGUUGUAAAGCUCUGUCACCUGGGACGAAAACACUUACGGUUAAUAGCCGUAGGAAUUGACGGUACCAGGGGAGGAAGCACCGGCUAACUUCGUGCCAGCCGCCGCAGUAA
rnacentral:rRNA from 1 species